UACGUAGGGUGCAAGCGUUGUCCGGAUUUAUUGGGCGUAAAGAGCUCGUAGGCGGUUCGGCAAGUCGGGUGUGAAAUUUCGAGGCUCAACCUCGAAACGCCACUCGAUACUGCUGUGACUGGAGUCCGGUAGAGGAGUGCGGAAUUCCUGGUGUAGCGGUGAAAUGCGCAGAUAUCAGGAGGAACACCAACGGCGAAGGCAGCACUCUGGGCCGGUACUGACGCUGAGGCAGCGAAAGCGUGGGGAGCGAACAGG
rnacentral:rRNA from 1 species